CCCACCCUGCGUGGCGGCUUGCGGACUUGCCGCGUUAAGGUCGGGUUGGAGGAAAUAGUCAGCCUGCGGUGUGUGUCUAAAGUGAAAGACGCGUCAGCAAUAAUGAGGCCCUAACCCCUGCCGGCCGGGCGGCCUCCCCAGCGCCCUCCCCGAAACUGUUUCGUUAGCUGAGUGUUUUUUUUUUUUUAAUAUUUAUUUGGCUGCACCGGGUUUUAGCUGCGGCGCACGGGAUCUUCCUUGCUGCAUGCGGGAUCUUUAGUUGCGGCAUGUGAGAAUCUACUUCCCUGACCAGGGAUCAAACCCCGGCGCCCUGCAUUGGGAGUGGGGAGUCUUAGACACUGGACCACUAGGGAGGAUGGCCUGACUGACGUUUUCAACUGAGGUAACCAGCUGGCGUUAGCAGAACAAAUCCCUCCCCGUCUCUCCCUGAGGAGGCCAUCCAUCCUGAGGAACCAGCUGGAGGGAGCCAAGAUAAGUCCAAAGUGAAAUGUUUUUGGAGAGCCCACACAGGCAUGAAGAAGCCACGCAGAGCCUGGAGUGUGGUGCUGGAGAGGGUAGAGAGGUCAGCCAAAGCUGCGCCUUGCAGAACGUGGCCCACCUCUUCAUGAGAGAGGAUGCUGCUGCUCCGGAACCGCACAAACUGGCCCAGGGAGAGAAGCCCCAGACAUGUAGUGAUUUGGCAUCUCCUUCAUUCACAGAUAUUUGCUGUGCCCUGCCGGGCUCAGCACUGGGCUGGGGGCAUGGAUCUGAAGCCCACAGAACUCUGCCUUCAAGAGCUCAGUGUUGGUAGGCAGGGGUGGGGUUGUGUCACAGGAGAGUGAGGUAAUGAGGAUUGCAAGACCCUGAGAGUUUGGUCUGCUGACCCCUUCAGUCCCCCACUCCCACCCUGCCCCUCACACUAGACUAUGUGUGGUUACCCAGACACACCACCACAUGCUCAUAUACUUGCUGUUCUCACUUCAAUACUGUACCUGCAAUACUUUUCCUUCUCUUUGCCUAUUAAUCCUUCAAGCCUCAGCUAAAAUGUUACCUUCACUGCUGAAUGUUUUCAUUUUAUUAAAGAAAUACAGGCAUUAACUGGGUGCUUACUAUAUUCUUACUCACUUCUCCCUCCCAGCUCUGGCAGAAGCAAUUACUCUUUUCUCUGGGUUCCUACACCAACCAUUGAUUUAUUCAUUGAUCCACUUCACUAUCAUUCACAGGCUCGCUGCCUUUAUUCAGUGGGCACUUACCAUGUUCUAGGCACUUAGCAUUAUCUUCUACUCUUCCAUUAAUAACAUCAUAUUUUAACUAUUAAUUUCCUUGUCUACCUCCUUCUCUAGACUGAGGGACCUUUAAGGCAGAACAUUUGGCUCACUGACGUCUUUGGUACCUAGCACAGGAUCUGGCAGGUGGUGGGCAGGGCCUGGUCAAUGUUUCAUGAGUGAAUGAGAAAGAAUGUCUGGGUAGUCUGGGCAGAGGAGAUGUGGGCAUUCAGAGGAAUUCUCUAGGCAGGCUUCUUGUAGGGUGAAGGCUCAUCCAGCUCCUCUACCUUCUUGGAGGAUGACAUUCUUCAGACCACAGGACCAUCCUUUCUGCACUUACCAGGGUCAU